rnacentral:rRNA from 1 species
UACGGGGGGGGCAAGCGUUGUUCGGAAUUACUGGGCGUAAAGGGCUCGUAGGCGGCCAACUAAGUCAGACGUGAAAUCCCUCAGCUUAACUGGGGAACUGCGUCUGAUACUGGAUGGCUUGAGUUCGGGAGAGGGAUGCGGAAUUCCAGGUGUAGCGGUGAAAUGCGUAGAUAUCAGGAGGAACACCUAUGGCGAAGGCAGCUCGCUGGGACGGUACUGACGCUGAGGCGCGAAAGCGUGGGGAGCAAACAGG